rnacentral:rRNA from 1 species
AGCGAACGCUGGCGGCAGGCUUAACACAUGCAGGUCGAACACCCCGCAAGGGGAGUGGCAGACGGGUGAGUAACACGUGGGAACGUACCCUUUGGUUCGGAAUAACUUGGGGAAACUCAAGCUAAUACCGGAUAAGCCCUUAUGGGGAAAGGUUUACUGCCGAAGGAUCGGCCCGCGUCUGAUUAGCUAGUUGGUGAGGUAAUGGCUCACCAAGGCGACGAUCAGUAGCUGGUCUGAGAGGAUGAUCAGCCACACUGGGACUGAGACACGGCCCAGACUCCUACGGGAGGCAGCAGUGGGGAAUAUUGGACAAUGGGGGCAACCCUGAUCCAGCCAUGCCGCGUGAGUGAUGAAGGCCUUAGGGUUGUAAAGCUCUUUUACCCGGGACGAUAAUGGCUGUACCGGGAGAAUAAGCCCCGGCUAACUUCGUGCCAGCAGCCGCCGUAA